rnacentral:rRNA from 1 species
AACGGGGAGUACUUACUUCGGUUUUUACUCCUAGUGGCGAACGGGUGAGUAACGCGUUGGUGACCUGCCCCGAAGAGGGGGAUAACUCCGCGGAAGCGGAGCUAAUACCCCAUGUGGUCGUCCAGGUUAGAGACUGGACGUCUAAAGGAGCAAUCCACUUCGGGAGGGGCCUGCGUCCCAUCAGCUAGUUGGUAGGGUAACGGCCUACCAAGGCGAUGACGGGUAGGGGGCCUGAGAGGGUGGCCCCCCACACUGGCACUGAAACACGGGCCAGACAUCUACGGAUGGCAGCAGUAGGGAAUAUUGCACAAUGGGCGAAAGCCUGAUGCAGCAACGCCGCGUGCGCGAAGAAGGCCUUCGGGUUGUAAAGCGCUUUUCUGGAGGAAGAGGAAGGACGGUACUCCAGGAAUAAGGAUCGGCUAACUACGUGCCAGCAGCCGCGGUAACACGUAGGAUCCGAGCGUUAUCCGAAUUUACUGGGCGUAAAGCGCGUGUAGGCGGCUGGGUAAGUUGGACGUGAAAGCUCCUGGCUCAACUGGGAGAGGUCGUUCAAAACUGCCCGGCUAGAGGGCGACAGAGGGAGGUGGAAUUCCCGGUGUAGUGGUGAAAUGCGUAGAUAUCGGGAGGAACACCAGUGGCGAAGGCGGCCUCCUGGGUCGCACCUGACGCUCAGACGCGAAAGCUAGGGGAGCAAACGGGAUUAGAUACCCCGGUAGUCCUAGCUGUAAACGAUGUGGACUUGGCGUUGGUGGGGUUAAAUCCAUCAGUGCCGGAGCUAACGCGAUAAGUCCACCGCCUGGG